rnacentral:misc_RNA from 1 species
AAGUCGUAACAAGGUUUCCGUAGGUGAACCUGCGGAAGGAUCAUUACCGAGUUAGGGUUUGCCUUUUUAGGUGCCCGACCUCCCAACCCUUUGUCUAUGAUACCUAUUGUUGCUUCGGCGUGCCCGAGGGGUCGUACCCUCGCCUGGACUCGUGCCGGGAGCGCGGCCGCCGAUGGCCCAAUUUAAAACUAUUGAACCCAAAACCUGUCGUCUGAAAACGUUAUGAUUUAUAAUCAAAAACAAAACUUUCAACAACGGAUCUCUUGGUUCUG